rnacentral:rRNA from 1 species
UACGGGGGGGGCAAGCGUUGUUCGGAAUUACUGGGCGUAAAGGGCUCGUAGGCGGCCAACUAAGUCGGAUGUGAAAUCCCCAGGCUUAACCUGGGAAUUGCAUCCGAUACUGGAUGGCUUGAAUCCGGGAGAGGGAUGCGGAAUUCCAGGUGUAGCGGUGAAAUGCGUAGACAUCUGGAGGAACACCGGUGGCGAAGGCGGCAUCCUGGACCGGCAUUGACGCUGAGGAGCGAAAGCCAGGGGAGCAAACGGG